UCCUACGGGGGGCAGCAGUGGGGAAUAUUGGGCAAUGGGCGCAAGCCUGACCCAGCAACGCCGCGUGAAGGAAGAAGGCUUUCGGGUUGUAAACUUCUUUUAUCAGGGGCGAAGCAAGUGACGGUACCUGAUGAAUAAGCCACGGCUAACUACGUGCCAGCAGCCGCGGUAAUACGUAGGUGGCGAGCGUUAUCCGGAUUUAUUGGGUUUAAAGGGUGCGUAGGCGGACUGUUAAGUCAGCGGUAAAAGCCCGGGGCUCAACCCCGGCGAGCCGUUGAAACUGGCUGUCUUGAGAUGUCGAGAGG
rnacentral:rRNA from 1 species